AUACGGAGGAUCCGAGCGUUAUCCGGAUUUAUUGGGUUUAAAGGGUGCGCAGGCGGGAGAUUAAGUCGGCGGUGAAAUUUUGCAGCUCAACUUUAAAAGUGCCUUCGAAACUGGUUUCCUUGAGUGUAGAUGAAGUAGGCGGAAUUUGUGGUGUAGCGGUGAAAUGCAUAGAUAUCACGAGGAACUCCGAUUGCGCAGGCAGCUUACUAAACUACUACUGACGCUCAGGCACGAAGGCGUGGGGAUCAAACAGGAUUAGAUACCCUGGUAGUCCACGCAGUAAACGAUGAUUACUAGCUGUUUGCGAUACAAUGUAAGCGGCUGAGCGAAAGCGUUAAGUAAUCCACCUGGGGAGUACGUUCGCAAGAAUGAAACUCAAAUGAAUUGACGGGG
rnacentral:rRNA from 1 species